rnacentral:rRNA from 1 species
UACGUAGGUGGCAAGCGUUAUCCGGAUUUAUUGGGUUUAAAGGGUGCGUAGGCGGACGCUUAAGUCAGCGGUAAAAUUGCGGGGCUCAACCUCGUCGAGCCGUUGAAACUGGGUGCCUUGAGUGGGCGAGAAGUACGCGGAAUGCGUGGUGUAGCGGUGAAAUGCACAGAUAUCACGCAGAACUCCGAUUGCGAAGGCAGCGUACCGGCGCCCAACUGACGCUGAAGCACGAAGGCGUGGGUAUCGAACAGG